UCUUCUAUUUAACGGAUCUGCCGCCAGGUCCCGCAGCUGGUUAACUACCGAUAGAGCAUCGGGUUCUUCAUUCAUGGUGGAGGAGGAGGAAUUCAUCUUCUCUGCCAAUCACAUGAACAAAAUCUUCUUACAUUCUGUCCCGGGGCUUCAGGAAUCCGGGGCCUGCCGCACCAUCGGGGCCGCACCGAGGGACGAGACAGAGGGGCGUGGGGAGGGGGGGGGUCCCCUCCGUUCGCAGCCGCCGCCGCGGCCUCGGAUGCAGCGGACACUGACUCCUAAAGCCGAACGGCGAGGGCGCCAGCGGAAAGAGCUUCUACGGACUCUCCCCCAUGACCCUGAAACCUCCGGCGGGACUGCCCUCUGAUUGGCUGGCGCCGCUGCGACGCGAAGGGAAGGCGCCCAAUCGGCGAAGGCUUUCUUGGGCCGGAGCGUUCAUUGGUCACCUGGGGCAAUGCCCUGAGUGUGGAGCGGGAGCGUCCAAUGAGAAGCCUGGAGCCGGGGCUGGACCGAACGCCUCGCCGUCCGCGGAACUGGUUCCAGCGGAGAAACCUUCGCCCUUCCUCGGCUCCGACUCCCCGCGCUCCCCUCCUUGCGUUCAGAAAUUCAAAUGGAACGUGUGUGUGUGUGUUUCUCUAGCAACUCUUGUAGUUCUCAGGAAGCAAUUUCAUUCGCUUCUCUGAGUCUUACUUCAUAAUCUUUAAAAUGUAUUUGAUUUCCCCCCAAGAACACUGGCACUACCGGAGGCUUUCGUUCAUGUCUCGCUCCUGUCUGAGUCUUCCUAGCAGCGCGAAGUCCGCAAGGUGCUGUGAUGCGUCUAUAACUCUCUGGAAAAUAUAGGAAAGAAUGUUUACACAUCAAGAGCACCUGACAUCCAUUAUCCAGACCAUUGGUCUUCCGGAAGGUUAUCAUCUCAGAACAAUCCAGAGGCUAAGGAAGCAGGACUGAGUCUUCUCAAGUAUGUACUUUUUACUAUAAGAACUCUCAGCUUUUCUUUCUUCUUCUUCAAAAUAUUCUGGGUAUUGCCUAGUUGUGUUUAUGAUUUGAAAAUUCUGAGACACUUGACUAUAAAUCUUUAUCAUUUCGUUCUAGCCAAAGCCUCCUUAUC